AGGACGAACGCUGGCGGCGUGCUUAACACAUGCAAGUCGAGCGGUAAGGCCCUUUCGGGGGUACACGAGCGGCGAACGGGUGAGUAACACGUGAGCAAUCUGCCCUUCACUUCGGGAUAAGCCUCGGAAACGGGGUCUAAUACCGGAUAUGACUGCGCCAUGCAUGUGGUGUGGUGGAAAGUUCUGGCGGUGAGGGAUGAGCUCGCGGCCUAUCAGCUUGUUGGUGGGGUAAUGGCCUACCAAGGCUUCGACGGGUAGCCGGCCUGAGAGGGUGACCGGCCACACUGGGACUGAGACACGGCCAGACU
rnacentral:rRNA from 1 species